rnacentral:tRNA from 1 species
GGGACAUGAGCAUUCCGGUCAUGCAGUAGCCUUUUAAGCUAUGGAACAGAGUUCGAUUCUCUGAUGUCCCA